AGCAGCCGCGGUAAUUCCAGCUCCAGUAGCGUAUAUUAAAGUUGUUGCAGUUGAAAAGCUCGUAGUUGAAUUUCGGGAUUAGUACGUUGGUCGUGCCUUCGGUACGUACUGGUGUUACUGAUUCCUACCUUCUGACGAACCAUCAUGUCAUUAAUUUGGUGUGGCGGGGAAUCAGGACUGUUACUUUGAAAAAAUUAGAGUGUUUAAAGCAGGCUCGCGCUUGAAUACAUUAGCAUGGAAUAAUGAAAUAGGACGUUGACCCUAUUUUGUUGGUUUCUAGGAUUGACGUAAUGAUUAAUAGGGAUAGUUGGGGGCAUUAGUAUUCAAUUGUCAGAGGUGAAAUUCUUGGAUUUAUUGAAGACUAACUACUGCGAAAGCAUUUGCCAAGGAUGUUUUCAUUAAUCAAGAACGAAAGUUAGGGGAUCGAAGACGAUCAGAUACCGUCGUAGUCUUAACCAUAAACUAUGCCGGCUAGGGAUCGGAAGAUGUUAUUUUUAAUGACUCA
rnacentral:rRNA from 1 species